rnacentral:rRNA from 1 species
AAUCAACGCUGGCGGCGUGCCUAACACAUGCAAGUCGAACGAGAAAGUCCCCGCAAGGGGAUGAGUACAGUGGCGUACGGGUGAGUAACACGUGACUAACCUACCCUCGAAGGGGGAAUAACCCCGGGAAACCGGAGCUAAUACCGCAUGACGUCCCUGGGACCGCAGGGUCCUGGGACCAAACGCGCAAGUGCUUCGAGGAGGGGGUCGCGGCCGAUUAGCUAGUUGGCGGGGUAACGGCCCACCAAGGCGAUGAUCGGUAGCCGGCCUGAGAGGGCGCACGGCCACACUGGAACGGAAACACGGUCCAGACUCCUACGGGAGGCAGCAGUGGGGAAUUUUGCGCAAUGGGGGAAACCCUGACGCAGCAACGCCGCGUGGAGGAUGAAGUCCCUUGGGACGUAAACUCCUUUCGACCGGGACGAUAAUGACGGUACCGGUGGAAGAAGCCCCGGCUAACUCCGUGCCAGCCGCCGCCGUAAAAC